AGAAAUUAAGACAUUUCGGCGUGUGCACUCUUGUUUUUAUGAAAUACAAGAACCUACCGGGUAUGUUAACAGAAAUUAAGCAAUACUGUUUUAUAAUUUUAAUUGAAAAUGAAUGUCUGACACUACUUUUAUCUAUGAAAAAGUUAAUUUAUUCACAGACCAAUAGAGUUUUUGUUUUUUAUUCAGUCAUGAUAUGAAAUAUAUAUUGUAUUUGAUAAGAAUGGAAUUUUUAUUUUUUUAAAGUAAUUGUAUUUGGAUUUGAAAACUGACAAUUAUCAUAAUUUAAAAGUAGGAUGUUGUUUGAAAAGAUGAGAUCAAGAAGUUUUAUAAGUCAGCAAAACUUUUAAUUACCUCAUUAUAUGGUAGUAACUUUAUUAAAUCAGGUUGUCAUGAGAUUCUAAGGGGUAUAUGUGAAGAAAUCAGCAUUAUUUCGAUUACAAUAUGGAAGUCCUCAUAACAAACAGGUUUAUAAACGUUUUCCACAGGGUAUACUUAUGCUUUAACAUUUUAUGGAAACAUUGUUGAAUUUUGAUUAUUUGUGUUUUUCAUAAUAAUUGUAUUAAAUAUGCAUACUGCUUUUGUGUACUUCCAAUGCAAACUAUUGAAAAAUUCAUAAUUUUUUUUUAGACAUACUUUGUUUUAGAUUUAUAAAGGCUAAAAACUCACAAGUACAUUAUUUGUAAUAAUUAACCUGAUUAUUGUUUUUUGUCAGGUUUACUGUUCAGUAAUAAAUGUAGACAAGCUUAGAGUUUAGCUAACAGUAUUGUAUGUCAAAAAAACAUUUCAUGCUUUGUCAUGUCAAAUAGAUUGAUGACAAUUUCUACAGGAUAUGUAAAAGGAAAAACAUGUAUUUUAGGUCUUAUUUGCCCCCGAAAGUUCACUAAAAGCAUAAAAUCGUAUGAUUAUCAAUCACAAAUUUAAAAACUUCAGAUCAAAAGUUUUAAGAAUAUGUUAGUAAUGACAUUAUAAUAAUGAUAUAUUCUGAUAGUGACAUCAUCAAAGAGAUAUGUCAGUCUUUUAGCAAAAGUAGGCGGAUUACAGGAAUAAUCAGCUAAAGUAACAGAUCGUGUAAACGCAAAACAAACUUCCAGUCUUUUCCAUGUUUUUGGAUUGUUUAGUGCUCUAUAUUAUUUCUAUGUACAAGUUGAAACAAGUUUUGUGUAAAUGUGACGUUUUACUUAAUUAAGACUGGCAUUUCAUGGCUGUGUUAAACACAUGAAAAUGAAUAAUUUACAACUAAAGCUGCAAGGUUUCAUAUCAUGUCAAAAUAAUCUAUUCCCUUUGUACAAAAGCCAACAUGUAAAGCAAGCUUUGUUAAUGCUAGUUCUGACGGUAACCAGACAAUGUGUCACUUAAUUUAACUUACUUUAUUGACUAAAAGCUGCCAAGUUUUUUCUUUAUCUCCUAAAUACUGAGUGCUUAGCAGAGAAGAUGUCAAAUUCAUAUUUAAUCAUGUGUAAAGAGAUUUUUUUUUAAAAGUGAACAGAUUAAUUAAGAUGCAGACUGAAAGUUAUUAUGUACCUAUCAUAUCAGUAGUUUUUUGCUAGUUUUAUAAGCCUAAUAUAUAUAAAAAAAUGUAUUUGUACGUUUGUAAUGUAGUGAUCGUCAUUGUAUCCUUGUAUUAAUUUUGGAAACAAAUAAACUAAAAAAAGACUGGUUUAUGUUAAGGGACUGUUUCCUCUAUGAAACAUUUUUUAGAAACAUAUACCGGUAUAUAUAUAUAUAUAUAUAUAUAUAUAUACUCAGUAGUCAUGCAUCUUUAUUAACAUGAUUAUGGUUACACACUGUGUGAAUACUGAUAGAGCAGAAGGAUUGCCAUUAGUCUGUAGUGAUUUAAACAUGAUAUGCAUUAUGUUAAAUUUAGUCAAAAAAAAAAUUAAAUAUAAGAACAUGCCAAAUUUAUAGUAUUUUCACAAAAUUUUAGGAUAGAGAACACAAAACAUUAAAUCAUAUUGAAACAGGUCAUCAUUUUCAUAUUUAUUUUUUCUGGUUUACUUUUGUAUUUCAGACUUUCUAUUUAUUUUAACGGAUUAUUGUUUUAGAAAAUUAAAUUCAAAAUUCGUUCUUUUAAAAUAAGUAUCACAAACACAUUUUUCUCAAUUUCCAAUUCAAUGAGUUGUGGCACUGAAAUUUUAGAUUUGGGUUAGCACUAUUUUAACAUCUGAAUUUUUCACAGAACAUAACAUGAUGAUUUUGUAUGCCAUGAAUAGAGACUAAUAUAUUACAACUCAUAAACAAAGGCUUAUCUGUCUGUAACUGGAGUAAAAAUGAUAGUAGUUCAAAUGUGUAAUUAGAUCAUAGUUGUUUAAAUAUAAUUAGAAAUUACUCAGAUGUUAUAUUUCUUUUUGUAAUCACAGGAUUCCACCCAUAGUAGAUGAUCAUUAUAUGUGCAAUAAGAUAUUGUUUUGCAUCAUGUAUAUUUAUAGAAAACACUUCUGGUGUAUUCAAAGAAUAAAUUCUCAAAAGAA
rnacentral:lncRNA from 1 species